GACGAACGCUGGCGGCGUGCCUAAUACAUGCAAGUCGAGCGAAUCAUUAGGAGCUUGCUCCUGAUGGUUAGCGGCGGACGGGUGAGUAACACGUGGGCAACCUGCCUAUAAGACUGGGAUAACUUCGGGAAACCGGAGCUAAUACCGGAUAAUCCUUUUCCACACAUGUGGGAAAGCUGAAAGACGGUUUCGGCUGUCACUUAUAGAUGGGCCCGCGGCGCAUUAGCUAGUUGGUGAGGUAAUGGCUCACCAAGGCGACGAUGCGUAGCCGACCUGAGAGGGUGACCGGCCACACUGGGACUGAGACACGGCCCAGACUCCUACGGGAGGCAGCAGUAGGGAAUCUUCCGCAAUGGACGAAAGUCUGACGGAGCAACGCCGCGUGAACGAUGAAGGCCUUCGGGUCGUAAAGUUCUGUUGUUAGGGAAGAACAAGUAUCGGAGUAACUGCCGGUACCUUGACGGUACCUAACCAGAAAGCCACGGCUAACUACGUGCCAGCCGCCGCGGUAA
rnacentral:rRNA from 1 species